ensembl:lncRNA
AGACUGAGGGGACAAGCCAAAGAGGAGAGGAGGUGAAGGAGGGAAGAUUUUAGCGUAGAAAAAACCUUUGACCUAAAGCCCGAAGCUACUCUAACCGCCGAAUUCUGGAUGUCUAUUCGGUUAGACGGAUCAGUAGUCCAAGAGAAUCUGUCCAGCGGUAGAAUGGAUUUCUUUCUACCCAGCCUAUUAUUUUACCUUUUCUUCUGCCUGUUCCAGCUCCUUGCUGUUGGCAUUUAAACGUCCUCAAGUUCUCUUCUACUUAAAAUAAUCCUUCUCCUGCACUGUUCUUCCUCUGCUAAUGUCUUUAUAAUCAAACUUCUUUAAAGAGCGCGGUCCGUUUUCUACUUCUACUUCGCAUCCGCUGGCUUUGCCUUUAUCAUUCUCUGCCUCUCUCGCCAAGAUCACCAAUUUCCAAUGUGUCACCAAAACUAAUGCCUAGUUUUCGUUUUUCUUGACCUCUGCAUCGCUGGACACUUGCUGACUCGUCCCUCCCUUUGGAAAUGCUUGUUUCUCAGCCUCAACAAAAGUCUCACUCUCGUUUGGGUCUUUUGCUUAUCUUUGUUCAGUCUCUGCUGCUUGUUCUACUUCCAUGUCUUAAAAUGUUGAUAUUCCUCGAAGCUGGGUCCUAGGAUCUUCAUCUCUUCCCGUUCUGCACUUUCUCCCAGGGAUUGGAAUGAAAACUGACUUUUUCCAGUCCUGUGACCACUGCUGAGUUUUCCAAAUUUGCUGGCAUAUUGAGUGCAGCACUUUCACAGCAUCAUCUUCCAGGAUUUGAAAUAGCUCAACUGGAAUUCCAUCACCUCCACUAGCUUUGUUUAUAUUGAUGCUUCCUAAGGCCCACUUGACUUCACAUUCCAGGAUGUCUGGCUGUAGCUGAAAUCACGAUUGCUGGGAGAAAUAUCAAUAACCUCAGAUAUGCAGAUGACACCACCCUUAUGGCAAAGCAAAGAAGAACUAAAGAACCUCUUGAUGAAGUGAAAGAGGAGAGUGAAAAAGUUGGCUUAAAGCUUAACAUUCAGAAAACUAGGAUCAUGGCAUCUGGUCCCAUCACUUUCAUGGCAAAUAGAUGGGGAAACAAUGAAAACAGUGUCAGACUUUAUUUUGGGGGGCUCCAAAGUCACUGCAGAAGGUGACUGCAGCCA